GGUGUAGCGCAGUUGGUUAGAGCGCCAGAUUGUGGAUCUGGAGGUCGUGGGUUCAAGUCCCAUUAUC
rnacentral:tRNA from 1 species